GUGUGUUUCUUUCGAUGCGUUCAAGUUAUGGCGGAUUUGCCGCUUUGCCCCAAUGUGAAACUGCUGUUGACCACUGAACAGCGUCUGACGACCAGUGUGGGCAUCAGCAGCAGAUUCGCUUUAAUGUGUCCAAUCAAAACCGGAUGUCACCUCAGCAACAUAUCAUUUUAUCUUGUUAUAUAAGUGGUCAGCGUUAUGCAAUACCAAUGAACAAGUUGUCAACAACUCAAAAACGUCUCAUUGAAACAAGAGAAGAAACAACCAUAAACAAACAAUGCAGGAGGAGGAGCCAUAUGAAUUAGAGUGCAGGAGAAGCAUAACUCUUUUCUCUGAUCUUCAUCCAAAAUGCUUUGGAAAGGCUCAGGUGCCUUCAUGUACCACAGUGCUCUGUGUAAGUCAAAAUGGAGAGAAGAACCACACAGUGCUUCAACAGGAGACACUCACAUAUAUAAGCUUUAACAUUGUUCACGGCAGCCAUUUUUACAAGAAAUAUUGGGUAAACACGUGUGACCUAUCAAGAGCCUUCAAUAGAAAAUUACAUUAAAUGGGAAACCUGAAUAAAUGAGUGGAGAACCAAGAUGAAUGUAGACGCUUCCACUCAGGUGCACUGGUACAAUAAAGCUAUGAACAUGUGAUCACGCUCUGUGGAUUGAACAGUUCUAGUAUCAAGAUGGAAAAAGAGAAGAUCGAAGUGACUUUAAAAGAGGGAUCAUCGUUGGGACAGAGCUUUAUUCAAGAAGCUCCUCUGGCCAUUCUAGUGUUCCAGUAGGAACAGUGACUAAAAGUGACAUCUGUAAUCUAUGAAAAAAACAAAGAUGUCAGUAAACAGAGUCGGACAUUAUGGUUAACAGUGCAUAUUCAAUGACAGAGAAGCUCUUGCAUUAGUGAAAAAAGCAAUUCAGGUGGUCAGACUGUGUUAGAGAGAGCAGUCUGUCCACAGUAACAUUGAGUGAUGGUACAGAGGGCUGUAGUGCAUAAAGCUUUCAUCGCAAACAUGAACGCACAUCGGAGAGUUCAGUGGUGCACAAACCACAGACACUGGUCUACAGAGAUGUGGAGAUGGAAUCUGUGUCACGGUGCAGCACAUGGUGGCCAAACACCAAACACACGUUAUGUUGGUUUCUCCUUUUACUUGUCACCUGUCUGCAUACAUAGAGACAGAUAUGCUGGUAGUAUUGACACUCUGGAGUUGUCCCAUUCUAAUGUGAUGGAGGAAACAAGUUUAGUUAAAUGUUAAAAGUUUGAAUGAAAU